rnacentral:rRNA from 1 species
UACGGGGGGGGCAAGCGUUGUUCGGAAUUACUGGGCGUAAAGGGCUCGUAGGCGGCCAACUAAGUCAGACGUGAAAUCCCUCGGCUUAACCGGGGAACUGCGUCUGAUACUGGAUGGCUUGAGUUUGGGAGAGGGAUGCGGAAUUCCAGGUGUAGCGGUGAAAUGCGUAGAGAUCAUGAGGAAGACCAGUGGCGAAGGCGGGUCUCUGGACAGUUCCUGACACUGAGGCACGAAGGCCAGGGGAGCAAACGGG